rnacentral:rRNA from 1 species
UACGUAGGGACCGAGCGUUGUCCGGAAUCAUUGGGCGUAAAGAGCGUGUAGGCGGCUUGUUAAGUCUUGCUUGAAAUCUCGGGGCUCAACCCCGAGCGGUCGUGAGAAACUGGCAGGCUAGAGUGCGGGAGAGGAGAGUGGAAUUCCUGGUGUAGCGGUGAAAUGCGCAGAUAUCAGGAAGAACACCCGUGGCGAAGGCGGCUCUCUGGAACGCAACUGACGCUGAGACGCGAAAGCGUGGGGAGCAAACAGG